rnacentral:lncRNA from 1 species
CCGAUGGCAUUGUGUUACGGCGUCGCCAAGGAGGACUUGAGAGAGAACCGGUAUUACAAGUAAACAUCCACGCGAUGAAAGGAGGUAAGACAAAUUUUUGUUUCAAACACCAAAAUCGAGAUUUAUAUUUUAAAUUCCUUUUUUCAGAGGAUAUGCAUGAUUAGGGUUGAAAAAAAUGGAAAGAUAUUCAAACUUUUAGUAGAAUGUUAGAUCGUGCAUCAUAAAAUGCUAAACUGAAAGUGUAUGUAGAUAUAUGAUGAUG